UCCCUGUUAAAAUCUAAUAUUUAUAAUUUUCUUUUUCUAUAAUAAUUGAGUGAAACUAUGCCUGUAGGAGGCACAACUUGAUGGCAAUGUAGUCACAGAUUUGCCAAGUGAUCCUAUAUUGCACAACAUGAGAACUCGAAGGGUUCAAGCUGCCAGCAUGGGCAUAUCAGAAUCAAGACAAAAGCAAGUCUACCUUAUUUCACUGAUAAACAAAGGCAGAGUUGUGGCCAAAGGGAAGUUAGUGACUACAGAUAGCCAAAGAGAAAUAUUAGGAGCAAAGCUUGGACCAAAAUAUUGUGGGGUUCUUGUUGAAGGCCUUGAAAAUAUUGAACUUGGCAAUAUUACAAAUGAGGAGGUACCUAGACCAUCUAAUCAGAUUCGUACACUAAUUGAUGCUAUUGGCUAUGUUAUUCCUUGGCCAAUUACACAUGUAAGUUUCUUUUUUAUUUGAAAUAGUACAUGUGUCCCCAUAACA